UACGAAGGGGGCUAGCGUUGCUCGGAAUCACUGGGCGUAAAGGGUGCGUAGGCGGGUCUUUAAGUCAGGGGUGAAAUCCUGGAGCUCAACUCCAGAACUGCCUUUGAUACUGAGAAGCUUGAGUCCGGGAGAGGUGAGUGGAACUGCGAGUGUAGAGGUGAAAUUCGUAGAUAUUCGCAAGAACACCAGUGGCGAAGGCGGCUCACUGGCCCGGUACUGACGCUGAGGUGCGAAAAGCGUGGGGAGCAAACAGG
rnacentral:rRNA from 1 species